CUUUUCAACUUUUGCAGGUGGCGUUAAGGUUACCUUUACCACAUUAUAAAUAUAAAUAUGUUGCACCUAAACAAUAACCCAACCCAUUUUAAUGUAUCUUUUCUGUUCCAGUUCCAAGCAGUGGGCUCUGUUUCUUUGAAUGUGUGGCUAUCUUGUUACAGUGUGAAGAGGUAAGGGGAGGAGAGAUGCUACAGGAGCUUUUGUGCCAGCAAGUAGAAGUUGCCAUUAGACACAGAUUUCAGCUCAGAUUUCCUUAACUAAAUCAUAAUCAUAACCAUUAAAAACAAACAGAAUAGCAAACAGACCUUAGAGGAGUGUUGAGGAACAACUUAAUAAUUAUGGCUGGUUCUGGCUGGUUGAGGCUGGUAAACCGAUCCUUUGUUUGUUUGGCCCUUACCUGUUUUGUUUCCUGCACUCACCUACACAUAAGUACACACACACACACGCCUGCAUGCAAAACAAACACACACACACAGGAAAACUGACAUCCAUACGAAUGACAAUACACAUAAACCUGGUUCAUACAAAUUUGGUUUUCCGAUCUUGUCAUUUUGCAAGGAUGAAUUCUGAGGAAGUUGCAAGAUCUCACCACUGGGGGUGCUGCAGCAUUGCCCAAUCACCGAGCUAAGCCCCCACUCCCUGUCUCCUUCAAGGAGGUGGAUCACAUACAGGCAAGGCCUCUAGUUUAAGUCCAGAUACAGCCAUGAUAAAGGAGGCUGAAUAUAAAGGAUAAAACAUGAAACAUGACACAACAUGUUUCGCUUCAGUUCUUCAUAGGGACAUUUCAUCAGAUUAGUGUACAUAUCGCCGCACAGCAAGAAUCAGUGCAGGGUCAUUCAAACCUCUGGUAAGCUAUUGUAGAACAAUAUCGGAAAUACAUUAAAAAUAACAAUACAAAUACAAGAAUCUGUACACUAACACAAGACACUAUACACUAACACCAAGACACAAUAAACCAACACAAAACAAUAUAGACAAACACCAAGAUCCUGUAAACUAACACAAGACACUACACACUAAUACAAUACACUACACACUAAUACAAUACACUAUACACCAAUACAAUACAAUAUACACCAACACAAUACACUAUACACUAAUACAAUACACUAUACACCAAUACAAUACAAUAUACACCAACACAAUACACUAUAUACCAACACAAUAGACUAUAUACCAACACAAUACACUAUACACUAACACCAAGACACAAUAAAUCAACACAAAACAAUAUAGACUAACACCAAGACCCUGUAAACUAACAAAAGACACUACACACUAAUACAAUACACUAUGCCCCAAUACAAUACACUAUACACCAACACAUUGCACUAUAUACCAACACAAUGCACUAACACAAGACAUUCUAUGUUCCUGAUCUAAACAGUGAGCUGAGGUUAACCCACUGUUGUUCUGCAUGCUACUAACUGUAAGAUGGAACAUUUUCAUUUCAAAACAAUACAAAAACAAAGGAACAUUCCACUUCCUUCAGCAGCCUGCACCCUGUCUCAGAGGUCUCUGUCCAGGUUACACUCUGGGGGUCAGAAACACUGUACUUCAGUCCAUGAACCCAUCUCAUCCCGCAGAAAAGAGGAAAAAAUAAAAAAUCCGAAGGAAAGACAGGGGAGAGAGAGUCAUGUACAAAAUACACACUAUAGGGGCUCUGUAGCUUAAAGGGGCGUUUGAGACAAAAACUUUUAAAAUGUUUCUAUGUUUCCAUAAUAUGAGGUCAAAAUAUCCCUCUGACACAUAAAUGUCAAGAUAAUACCUUGCUGUGGCUAUGGAUACUGAGUCUUCACCCACUGCUCGCCACACCCCACCCCUCUGUUAACAGAAUGUUCUAGACUGCUGAGUAGGUAUCAGGACCAGUGAAAAGAGACAAUUGGCACAUUAGCUUUGUGUCGCCCUGCGCCACGAAAUCUUUGCCUGUUUGCGUCACGCUAUUGUUUGCAACAAGGAGAACAAGUUUAGUACAAUCACGUCUAUCAUUUAUUUUGUGGAAAACAUGUAUAUAGCUGCAUGUAGGAGAUAGCCCAUCUGAAAAACAACCUGAAAUAGUUUUUACGACUAAUACCCAACGAAGCUUAGAAUGGAAUAGUUUGAACAGUUUUGCGCAUAUCAUGUAGUUUAAAAAAAAGUCAAGCCAAUGAUUGUUUGUCUAUUGAGUGCAGGAAUGUGACUAGAAAAAGGCCCACCAUGUCUGUAAUUUUGGGUUCCAGAAAAACCCGAACCGCAGCAACUCAGCUGAAAAAAAUCCUUGGAAUUUAAGUAUUUUUGGGUGAGAUGUAAUUUUGGCCUACAUUGUGACAUCACAAUGUCAUCUGAUUAUUAUACACCAAUGACUGUUCAGCCAGGUGGGUGUGGGCUCUGAAACAUCUUAUUUAUCAAUCAGGCCUGUGUGUGUAAAUAUCUUCAGAUUUGCAUGGUAGAGGCAACGUGAUGGUCUGGGGGUGCUUUGGUGGUGGUAGAGUGGGAGAUUUGUACAGGGUAAAAGCGAUCUUUAUGAAGGAAGGCUAUGACUCCAUUUUGCAAUGCCACGCCAUACCCUGCGGACAGUGCUUGAUUGGAGCCAAUUCUUCCAACAACAGGACAAUGACCGAAAGCACAGCUCCAAACUAUGCAAGAACUAUUUAGGGAAAAGGCAGUCCGCUGGUAUUUUGUCUAUAAUGGAUUGACCAGCACGAUCACCACAUCUCAACCCUACUGAGCUUUUGGGAGAGCAGCUUGACUGUAUGGUACGUAAGAAGAGCCCAUCAAACCAAUCCAACUUGUGGGAGGUGCUUCAGGAAGCAUGGGGCGAAAUUUCUUCAGAUUAAGUGUGAAGGGCACAUUUAAAACACUGUUACCUAGAUUAAAUUAGGUAAACACCAAAAAAGAACUCAUUCUGAAUGGAUUUUUAUAUAAGUUCGAAAAACAAAAAGUGUGAUUGCUCCAGUAAAAAAAAAAAAAACAGUGGAGGAUGUACGUACCACACAAGGCAGUGACGUUGUUCCUGUAUGCAAAACAGAUUGCUGUACCCCCACAAACUGGAGCUGGAGCACUGGUACAUUGAGAAAACACGUCUGUCCAGAAAGCACACAAGCCUUGACUGUCAGGGGUCUAUGUUAGUUAUCCUGUUUAGGGACCAG
ensembl:lncRNA